UACGAAGGGGGCUAGCGUUGUUCGGAAUCACUGGGCGUAAAGCGCACGUAGGCGGCUACUUGAUAGCAGGGGUGAAAUCCUGGAGCUCAACUCCAGAACUGCCUUUGAUACUGAGGAGCUUGAGUCCGGGAGAGGUGAGUGGAACUGCGAGUGUAGAGGUGAAAUUCGUAGAUAUUCGCAAGAACACCAGUGGCGAAGGCGGCUCACUGGCCCGGUACUGACGCUGAGGUGCGAAAGCGUGGGGAGCAAACAGG
rnacentral:rRNA from 1 species